rnacentral:rRNA from 1 species
GGAAUAUUGCACAAUGGGCGCAAGCCUGAUGCAGCCAUGCCGCGUGUAUGAAGAAGGCCUUCGGGUUGUAAAGUACUUUCAGCGGGGAGGAAGGCGACGGGGUUAAUAAACCUGUCGAUUGACGUUACCCGCAGAAGAAGCACCGGCUAACUCCGUGCCAGCAGCCGCGGUAAUACGGAGGGUGCAAGCGUUAAUCGGAAUUACUGGGCGUAAAGCGCACGCAGACGGUCUGUCAAGUCGGAAGUGAAAUCCCCGGGCUCAACCUGGGAACUGCAUUCGAAACUGGCAGGCUAGAGUCUUGUAGAGGGGGGUAGAAUUCCAGGUGUAGCGGUGAAAUGCGUAGAGAUCUAGAGGAAUACCGGUGGCGAAGGCGGUCCCCUGGACAAAGACUGACGCUCAGGUGCGAAAGCGUGGGGAGCA